AUGUCUUCUCUAAUUUUGAUCGUGCUUCAGUUUAGAGUAUGGUUAUACUUUUGCUUAGGGGUAAUUGCUUUUCUUACUGGUGCUCCUGAUUAUGAAGAUGGUCAACUAGACACUAAGAGAUAUGGUGAGCAAUAUGCUAGCAAAGGGGAAGAUGUUGACCUCAUGUUGCUCCCUGAGCAGAUACCUUCCUAUAGAGAUCUGGCUUACGAUGUCUUGGGCCUGUACCACAGAUUAGGCCGCACACUCUUCAGUCCAGCCAGUGUAAGCACCAUCACUGCAUAUUUCCCUUCAGAAUUCUGA
rnacentral:rRNA from 1 species